UUCUGUUUGUAUUUAUCUAGAUAUGGUAGCUCUCAGCUUCAGCUACACCGUUAUGCAACCGACCGUGAAUCAAGGGUCAUUACUGCUCUUACCCUUUUGAAAUCUCAUCUUUUUAGUUACCAAGGUUAUGUUAGUGCUGCUUUAGUGCUUGUCGGUGUUGAUUUUACUAGACCUCAUUUGCACUAUAUACCCUCACGGUUCAACUGACACUCUGCCAUUUGCAACCAUAGGUUCUGGUUCUCUUGUUGCGAUGACCAUCUUUGAGUCAAAAUACAGAGAGGGCCUGACUAUAAACGAAGGAAUAAAGCUUGUGUCUGAGGUGAUUUGCUCUGGAAUUUUCAAUGACUUGGGAAGUGGUAGCAAUGUUGACGUUUGCGUAAUAACCAAGGGCUACACUAAGUACUUGAGGUAACCACCAGUUGCCAAAUCCUCGGACCUAUGUCAGUUCAAGGGGUUAUUCCUUUACUAAGGGACAGACUGGUUAAAGUUAUGAAGGAGAGUGUAGUGCCUAGAGUAGUGUAUGUACCCACUGCCAUUGUCUGGAUGGCACCUGCAAGCACAGAGCAGCAAUCACUUGCACCAGUAGCCCCUGCUUCA